GACGAACGCUGGCGGCGUGCUUAACACAUGCAAGUCGAACGGAAAGGCCCUGCUUUUGUGGGGUGCUCGAGUGGCGAACGGGUGAGUAACACGUGAGUAACCUGCCCUUGACUUUGGGAUAACUUCAGGAAACUGGGGCUAAUACCGGAUAGGAGCUCCUGCUGCAUGGUGGGGGUUGGAAAGUUUCGGCGGUUGGGGAUGGACUCGCGGCUUAUCAGCUUGUUGGUGGGGUAGUGGCUUACCAAGGCUUUGACGGGUAGCCGGCCUGAGAGGGUGACCGGCCACAAUGGGACUGAGAUACGGCCCAGAAUCCUACGGGGGGCAGCAGUGGGGAAUAUUGCACAAUGGGCGGAAGCCUGAUGCAGCAACGGCGCGUGCGGGAUGACGGCCUUCGGGUUGUUAACCGCUUUCGCCUGUGGCGAAAGGUGAGUGACGGUAAUGGGUAAAGAGAGAACGGCUAAAUACGGG
rnacentral:rRNA from 1 species